rnacentral:lncRNA from 1 species
UGGUCUUACAAGAACUACUAAUCUUAGAAAAGUAAGAAAUGUGAAGAAAAAGAGAAAUUACAAGUAGACUACUCCUAGAAAGCAGAAAAUGCAGAAAAAUAAGUUGGUCUUCUUAUUCUCGGGGAAAAAGACCCUUCUGUCAGGCGUCUUCUGUUUAUUUAUAACUCUGUCCCUUGUUUAUUCAAUUAUUUCCCCCUAUCAGCCACGUUCCUAUUUCUACGGACCACUUCCGGCCGAUCUUAACUACAUCGGUUUUAACAGUUCUUCAGUUUUAAAUGUGUUCUUCUCAACUCCUAGCGCACCACAUGUCACCUAUUCC